AAAGUGACGGUACCUGCAGAAGAAGCACCGGCUAACUACGUGCCAGCAGCCGCGGUAAUACGUAGGGUGCGAGCGUUAUCCGGAAUUAUUGGGCGUAAAGAGCUCGUAGGCGGUUUGUCGCGUCUGUCGUGAAAGUCCGGGGCUUAACCCCGGAUCUGCGGUGGGUACGGGCAGACUAGAGUGCAGUAGGGGAGACUGGAAUUCCUGGUGUAGCGGUGGAAUGCGCAGAUAUCAGGAGGAACACCGAUGGCGAAGGCAGGUCUCUGGGCUGUAACUGACGCUGAGGAGCGAAAGCAUGGGGAGCGAACAGGAUUAGAUACCCUGGUAGUCCAUGCCGUAAACGUUGGGCACUAGGUGUGGGGACCAUUCCACGGUUUCCGCGCCGCAGCUAACGCAUUAAGUGCCCCGCCUGGGGAGUACGGCCGCAAGGCUAAAACUCAAAGGAAUUGACGGGGGCCCGCACAAGCGGCGGAGCAUGCGGAUUAAUUCGAUGCAACGCGAAGAACCUUACCAAGGCUUGACAUGUUCUCGAUCGCCGUAGAGAUACGGUUUCCCCUUUGGGGCGGGUUCACAGGUGGUGCAUGGUUGUCGUCAGCUCGUGUCGUGAGAUGUUGGGUUAAGUCCCGCAACGAGCGCAACCCUCGUUCCAUGUUGCCAGCACGUCGUGGUGGGGACUCAUGGGAGACUGCCGGGGUCAACUCGGAGGAAGGUGAGGACGACGUCAAAUCAUCAUGCCCCUUAUGUCUUGGGCUUCACGCAUGCUACAAUGGCCGGUACAAUGGGUUGCGAUACUGUGAGGUGGAGCUAAUCCCAAAAAGCCGGUCUCAGUUCGGAUUGGGGUCUGCAACUCGACCCCAUGAAGUCGGAGUCGCUAGUAAUCGCAGAUCAGCAACGCUGCGGUGAAUACGUUCCCGGGCCUUGUACACACCGCCCGUCAAGUCACGAAAGUUGGUAACACCCGAAGCCGGUGGCCUAACCC
rnacentral:rRNA from 1 species